GUCGUCAUCAUCGUCAGCAGCAGCAGCUGAUGCCCGCGCUUUCCUAUAAUUAAGAGAACAAAAAGAAAAGAAGAGUUAGGGGGCGUAGAUGACCAAUGAAGUCUGUAAUUCAGAACAUAUAGAAAAAAGGAAGUUGUGGUGCUGUAUUUGGGUGGUCAUGAACUCCAUGAACUGGUUUUGCUGGUACAAUUUGCAUGCUCUUGGACUCGAAUUGCUCCGGCAAAAGCACUGCUCCCUUGAAAUGCUUUCUAAGCGCUGCUAAGAGGGCGUGUGGAUCCGCGGUACCUGAGACGGUAACCAUCCCUUCAUUUGCAUCAAUGCUUCAAUGGAACAGCACCAAUCGGUAUGAUUGGAGAUGGUGGGAAAUUCUAGAUGCCAUGUUUUGUAACAUAAAAGAAUGAGAUAAAAUUUUAAGGGGUAUGUUUUAGUGGAAGUCGUCUUGACCUCAUUAAGCAUCAGGCUUAAAGUUGUGCGCGAGUGAAAUGCCAAGUUUUUAAGACACACAUGUAGGGGAUGCUUUGCAUAGUAUCCAGAGAAUUUAGUUGGAACAAAGUAUGGAUACACGGAUUACCUAAAAUAAAGAAAAUAAUAAUAAUGGGAGAAGAAUUAUGUGGACGAUCCAUUCAAACUGGGAUCAUGGGAAAAUAAUUAUAAUGUGAAAACAUAUGUACUUACAACCAUAAUAAGGAAAAGUGGAUGCUAUUUAAAACAGAAACAAUAUACAAUAAUAAAUCUGAAAAUUGAUGAUUAUUGGUCGGUUAAAGAAAAGACACAAAUACCCUGCAGGCCCCAUGAACCAUGAGUAGAACAAAACACCACCGUCCAAGGACGACUGCAGAUUCGCGUUGUUGACGGAGGUCAAUGGCAUUUUGUUGAAUUCUUGCUGCCUUAAUGAAGUCGACCAAGGAAGCUAUGCUGAAGUUUCCCGUUUGGACUAACGUUGGACUCGUAAAAAUCUAAUCAUUGUCACAUAGUCGGUGGAUCAAAUCAAAGAGGUAAUUGAAGUGGAGCUUGUUAUGUGGGGGGCAUAGAUUCCACUAUAAUUGUGUCUUUAUUCCUUUUGUUUGUUUGUUUUUUUUUGUUUUUCUCUUAAUUUGAAUCUGCUAUUAUUUUUAUACGAUAGAUGAUGAGUAAUUGCCUCCGUCCAUGCAUACGGAUGUUAUGGUGAGGGCCAUCCAUAUAUGCAUGUUCUGAUAUCAAAUAAUAAAUAAAUAAAAUUAUUGCAAAAUUAUAUUUUAAUCAACAGUAUAAAAAAGAUAAAUACUUCGAUCAAACCAUUCAGCCCCUCAUUUGGAAUCCAUUAGGUUUUGCCAAAAUAAAAGGCCUAAAGCCCAAAAAAGACACAGUAAAGACUCAUAGAGUCAGAGACCUCUCCAAAGGUUUGGUAUACUUCACAUGAAUCUUUCUUGUGGUUUGGGAAUUUAUAUGGACUUCUCCUGAAAAUAAAAUUAAUCUACAUGAACCUCCGUUCGGUUAGAAUCAACAUCAAUCAAUCACGAAUUGUGCUGACGUACUACCAAUUCAACAACCAAAAGAUCAGCAAUCGCUAGAUGAUCAUCUUGUAGAAAAAUAUAUGGGAAUGGUUGAACAGCAGCCAGGAAUCAUAAUAAACCCUGCAAGAAAAAGAUCCUGAUGCAGUGGCCGGAGCUUCUGCAAUUGAAAGGGCGAGAAUCGAAGAUCUCAUUAAUCUCUCUCUGCCCCUAAAUUGUCCUAAUCAAAUCAUUAACCCUAACUCCACUCUAUAUCUCUAUGUUCUACAAAUCGCCCCAAAUUGGCCUAAUCAAAUUGUUAACCCUACUCCACUCUCUUUCUCUUUAUGCUCUGCAAAUCGCCCCAAAUUGGCCUAAUGAAAUCGUUAACCCUAACUCCACUCUCUCUGUCUAUGCUCUGCAAAUCGCCAUCUCUGUCUAUGCUCUGCAACCCUUCAACAGUCAAAGACCAAACACAUCUAUAAUCAUUCACAAAGCUUUUGCAAACACCAGUGACAAAGACUCAAAUCGGUGUUGUCGUCUCUGAUUGGUAAUUUUUGGUUCGUAUUACGAUGAGCAGGGUCGUUGACUUGUCGUCACCUUCUUUACUUGUUGUUGCUAAGGUGUGCGCAUGGACAAUAGUCUUACGGCGGGAGAAUCGUCAGAGCGAGCACAGUCCCUAAGAAGAUGCCUUUCAUCCCAUCGAUGCCACUCACCCCACCAAGAAAUCCCCAAUCUGCAUAUACGUCCUCCACCUCAUCGAGUUCAACGGUUGCGCCUCUGCCAUGCUCAUCAUCCACAACACCUGUAAAUCCAGCCACCCCGCCCUCAACCGGACCCAAGCCCAGUCUGACCACAUAUCAACGCCUUCAAGCAGCAUGUCAGAUGUAAUAUAUAUUAUAAUUUAAGUAUUAACGGUCCGUCACAAGGAAGGAGGUUGUAGGUUAGUUUCAUUUUUAGAACAGGUUCGUGUAAAUUCUUAAAUUACAGGAGAAAUUUUUAUAAUUAUGACAAACUAUAAGAAAGGUCAGUGUAAAUUAUUCAUACUUAAAAGGCCAUUGAACAACAAUAACUGAAAUGGAGUUCUUCAUUGCAUCUUGGGACAACACUUGGGAGCCUAAUAAUAAAAAAUAAAAAAAUUAGGGAAUAAACAACACUUGGAGCCUAAUAAGAGAGAGUGGGAUUUUUCUAUAAUAAAAAAAUUCACAAAAUCACGUAUAUAAUAAUAAUAAUAAUAAUAAUAAUAAUUCAUUGACAAUUUUUUUUUUUUUUUUU